UGAGAGUUUGGGGAAGUUUAGGCUGCUGGGAAGAGCCGGGUUGCUGAAAGCGUGGAAGAGUCGGGGUUCUCACUUGUUUCUGGGGAGGCCUGAAGAGCAAGCAGCCGGGACGCUGGCGAGUGGAAGAUGUGCAGAAAUGACAGAAAGUGUGAGCAUGAAAAUAAGCUUUAAAACCACAGAUCCUAAAACCCAGAGAAGCAGGAACCUACAGUCCCCACUGCUGCUGUAAGAGAGGGAAAAUAUAAAAUAAAAUUCCAGUUUGCAAUUGCAUCUGAUCAACAGGAAACUCUAAUUUGUGGGAAGAGUGAAAUCACC